rnacentral:rRNA from 1 species
CCUACGGGUGGCAGCAGUGAGGAAUAUUGGUCAAUGGUCGGAAGGCUGAACCAGCCAAGCCGCGUGAAGGACGAAGGUACAAAGUAUCGUAAACUUCUUUUGUCAAGGAACAAAAUCAGGCACGAGAGCCUGAACGAGGGUACUUGAAGAAAAAGCAUCGGCUAACUCCGUGCCAGCAGCCGCGGUAAUACGGAGGAUGCGAGCGUUAUCCGGAUUUAUUGGGUUUAAAGGGUGCGUAGGCGGACUGUUAAGUCAGGGGUGAAAGCCCGGGGCUGAACCUCGGGAGGGCCGUUGAAACUGGCUGUCUUGAGGUGUGGAGAGGUAAGUGGAAUUCGCAGUGUAGCGGUGAAAUGCUUAGAUAUUACGAAGAACUCCGAUUGCGAAGGCAGCAUACUGGA